CCUACGGGAGGCAGCAGUAAGGAAUAUUGGUCAAUGGGCGCAAGCCUGAACCAGCCAUGCCGCGUGCAGGAUGACGGCCCUCUGGGUUGUAAACUGCUUUUAUACGGGAAGAACAGCAUCUACGUGUAGGUGUUUGACGGUACUGUAAGAAUAAGGACCGGCUAACUUCGUGCCAGCAGCCGCGGUAAUACGAAGGGUCCAAGCGUUAUCCGGAUUUAUUGGGUUUAAAGGGUGCGUAGGCGGCUUUUUAAGUCAGUGGUGAAAGCCUGAUGCUCAACAUCAGAACUGCCAUUGAUACUGAAGAGCUUGAGUACAGUUGAGGUUGGCGGAAUGUGUCAUGUAGCGGUGAAAUGCUUAGAUAUGACACAGAACACCGAUUGCGAAGGCAGCUAGCUAAGCUGUUACUGACGCUGAUGCACGAAAGCGUGGGGAGCAAACAGGAUUAGAUACCCUGGUAGUCCACGCCCUAAACGUUGAUAACUCGUUGUUAGCGAUAUACUGUUAGCGACCAAGCGAAAGCAUUAAGUUAUCCACCUGGGAAGUACGGUCGCAAGAUUGAAACUCAAAUGAAUUGACCGGNGNGAGAGNGCGAGGACGACGACGAGGGAGGAGG
rnacentral:rRNA from 1 species